rnacentral:rRNA from 1 species
UUCCGGUUGAUCCUGCCGGACCCCACUGCUAUCGGGAUAGGACUAAGACAUGCUAGUCGAGCGCGUCAGCCAAUACGACGCGCGGCACACAGCUCAGUAACACGUGGCUAAUCUGCCCUUAGGACGAGAACAACCCCGGGAAACUGGGGCUAAUUCUCGAUAGGCGAAGAACACUGGAAUGUGUCUUCACCCAAACAGUACGGCGUUAUGCUCGUUGCACCGCCUAAGGAUGAGGCCGCGGCCGAUCAGGUUGUUGGUGAGGUAAUGGCUCACCAAGCCUUUUACCGGUGCGGGCCGUGGGAGCGGGAGCCCGGAGAUGGGUACUGAGACAAGGACCCAGGCCCUACGGGGCGCAGCAGUCGCGAAAACUUUGCAAUAGGCGAAAGCCUGACAGGGCUAUCCCGAGUGCCAUCCGCUGAGGAAGGCUUUUACCCAGUCUAGAACGCUGGGGGAAUAAGGAGAGGGCAAGUCUGGUGUCAGCCGCCGCGGUAAUACCAGCUCUCCGAGUGGUGUGGAUGUUUAUUGGGCCUAAAGCAUCCGUAGCUGGCUAAGUUAGUCCCUUGUUAAAUCCACCGAAUUAAUCGUUGGAUCGCGGGGGAUACUGCUUGGCUAGGGGACGAGAGAGGCAGACGGUAUUUUCGGGGUAGGGGUUGAAAUCUUAUAAUCCCGGGGAAGACCACCAGUGGCGAAGGCUGUCUGCUAAAACGCCCCCCGACGGUGAGGGAUGAAACCUGGGGGAACCGAACCGGAUUAAAUACCCGGGUAGUCCCACCUGUAACCAUGCAAACUAGGUGUUUGAACGGCCCCUUCCCGUUUAAUGCCCCAAGGGAAACUGUUAACCCUGCCCCCUGGGGGAUUACCAAUCCCAAAAUUGAAACUUUAAGGGAAUUGGCGGGGGGAACCCCCCCAAGGGGGUGAAACUUGGGGGUUU